rnacentral:rRNA from 1 species
UAUGCCUUAGUAACGGCGAGUGAAGCGGCACAGCUCAAAUUUGAAAUCUGGCCCUGGGGUCCGAGUUGUAAUUUGUAGAGAGUGUUUCGGGGGAGGCCACGGUCUAAGUCCAUUGGAACAUGGCGUCAUAGAGGGUGAGAAUCCCGUAUGUGACCGUGGAUCGAACCCAUGUGAAGCCUCUUCGACGAGUCGAGUUGUUUGGGAAUGCAGCUCAAAAUGGGUGGUAAAUUUCAUCUAAAGCUAAAUACUGGCUGGAGACCGAUCGCGCACAAGUAGAGUGAUCGAAAGAUGAAAAGCACUUUGGAAAGAGAGUUAAACAGUACGUGAAAUUGUUGAAAGGGAAGCGCUUGCAACCAGACCUGCCCGUAGGCGAUCAGCCGCUGUUCUCAGCGGUGCACUCGUUCUGCGAUCAGGCCAGCAUCGGUUUGGGCGGUCGGAUAAAGGCCUUGGGAAUGUAGCUUCCCUUCGGGGGAGUCUUAUAGCCCUCGGUGCAAUGCGGCCAGCCAGAACCGAGGACCGCGCUUCGGCUAGGAUGCUGGCGUAAUGGUUGCAAGCGACCCGUCUUGAAACACGGACCAAGGAGUCUAACAUCUAUGCGAGUGUUUGGGUGUUAAACCCAUGCGCGGAAUGAAAGUGAACGGAGGUGAGAACCCUUGAGGGCGCAUCAUCGACCGAUCCAAAUUUCUUCGGAUGGGAUU